GCUCCAUUGGUUGAGCGUCCGACUUCAGCUCGGGUCAUGGUCUCAUGGUUUGUGGGUUCAAGCCCCACAUGGGGCU
rnacentral:tRNA from 1 species